GUCUUAGCAUGAUCUGGUCUGAAGGUAGAGAAAGGAUGCGAAUCCUCGGGGCGCUUCAAGCCCCUUGUUUUCAUGCCCAGUUCCUUGAUGGUAGCCCUGCGCAGCGCGACUUCUCUGAAGCCUAUGUAUAUAUUUUGGUUUUUAUCUCGGGUUUUGUUAAAGUAUUUAGAUUUUUGUUCUUGAACCUGAAGCAGCUCCAGAACAACUUUGAGAGAUAAGGAAGAAAGCCAUCUUUUAUGAUUUACUAAAUAUAGCAGGAAGUAUACAAAAUGAGCCUUGAGCAUCUUGUAGUAUGGAAUGUAAUGAAGUGCUAAAAAAACAAAAGUCUCACAUUAAUGGGUGUAUGUAGAAGGUGCACAAGAGGCAAUUGAAAGAGCUCCCAAAGGCCAAAGCUGGAAUAAUCUAAUCAAUAACGUAGGUAGCACUGGAUUACAACCCAAAGUUCAAAAUAAAUAUCCAUGAUUUCAUAGUGAUAUAAAUAAGCAAUUGAAUAAAU
rnacentral:lncRNA from 1 species